UGUACAAUUGAUGUUUUGCAAAUUCAUUCAAUCAAUAAAUAGUUAUUCAUUUGAGUUGUGGAAUGCAAAAGGUUUUAGCUAGUUGCAUGUAGCAAUAGCCUAUACGUGACAGAGUAUGUCUACAUCAAAUGGAUAUGCACAAUAUUCUAAAUUGUGCUAAAUGAAUGUGCUACUGUUUAUUUAGCGUUCUUUAGACUUGUGUUGUAACCACGGUUACUGUAACUUGUGACUGAAGCUAGUGUUGUGACGUCAUACACCGACCCUUUAUUCCGAAGAUAAUAAGAACCUUGCAGUUGAUUGUUAUUUUCAAACUCGAAAUCACUUCACUAAAUCGAUUUGAUAACCUAUGCCCGGGCGGUUAAAUUUUUGAUGACAUACUAUUUAAAAAUUUAGAGCAAUAGAAAAGACACAUACUGCGCUGGUCUUGAAGACUGCUUGCCACACUGCCGAAAUAGCCUCGAAGCGACUAACUACGGGGGCAACCGAGAUGAAGCUCAAGCAGAAGGAGAGCAGCAGGAGACAACAGGAUGGACCUAAGGGAACAUUGACAGCAUAUGGACACAAUUUCAUCCUAGAAUUCUUAAGCCUCUACUCAAAACAUGAGGAAAUCCAAAUAUAUUUGGAUGAGGUAAUGGCAGUACAUCAAAUCAUAUCCUGAUAUUAUUAAUGCACUGUUACAACUGGUUUGCUCUUUAAAACUUUGUACUCUCUAAAUAGUUUUUUUGUGUAUAGUUUGCUAAAAUAAUUUUGGAAAGGUUUUGUACUCAGUCCACCAAGGUAGAACACAAAUGAAUUGUUUUUGAUCCCAAAUGUAGAAUGAAAAUGGAAAAAUAAUCUCUUUGAAUGUGUAUAAUACUGCAUCAUUUUUUUUCUUUAACUUCACUGCAUUUUAUUUUUGGGAUACAUUCAUAAACCAGAACAUAAGCCUUGGCAUUUCUUCACAAAAGAAGAGCUUCAUCAGCUGAAGAAAAUUUUUCCAAAUCCUUUCCUGAAGUACAGAACCCAUCUGCCCCAUCGAACACCUUUUUCGAUUCUGCUGGAUGCGGUAAGUAUGGAGACAAAAAAACAAACCCAUGAACCCAUAUUGGUUUUUCAUAGGAACAUUUUUAAGAACAAAACUAAGAAUAAUUUAAGAAAGGUUUUUUGAAUGAGGCCCAAUGUUUAGAAACACUUAAUAUUGUAAAUAUUUUCAUAUUUACAUACCAAUUUCAAAUAAAUAUUUAGAAAUGACAUGAACGUAAAUGUAUAAUUACCAAUAAGAGAACGUUGUGCUAUAUGACAUUUAAAAAUAUAUAUUAACCAUGUUAUUGUGAUUUAUGACCUUUGAAACCCUUACCGCAUUGUCCCUAAAAUUCACAUUUGGAGGUCCAAUCUUUCAGGCUGUCAGCAUUAAUGGUAGUAGGAAUGAACAGGGUGUGCUGGCGUGUCUUGCUAACUUCAUGGGAAAAGUGCAGCUGGAAAACUCUGGCCCACGAAAGAGAAACUGGUAUACGCUGGAGGCCACCGUCGUCUGUAUCUGUGAGCAUAAGGAAGCAGGAGAAGAUUAUCCAAUUAAAUACUAUGGGGCGUCUUUGUCCUGCAAAGGCCAACACACAAAAGAAAUCAUGAUCGCUCUGUCUUGUCUGCACACAUGGCAUGACUACAUCUCCCAUGCAGUCAUGUCAGGUGACGAGGGCGCCACAGUACGAUUCCCAGAGUCCGUGAAAUGCACGGCUUUCAAAAGGAACUGGGAACAGAAUGUUUAUUACAAAGUGGGGCCCUGCGAUAAGUGCAAUGGCACUUUCCUUGGGGUCUCCUUUGUCCCAGAGCAUAAACCAGAUGGAAAAGAGCCGGUUUGGCCACGUGGCAACUGCGCUGAGACAGAAUGUCUAAGUAAACUCCUUAAAAGUAAUCCAAAGGUCUGUCAUGAAACAAGAGCUUUGCAAAAUAACACGCCAGUAGAUAUUGAUCUGGACACUAUCAAAGACAAGGCAAGAGACACACUGAGUACACUUUUAAAGGGAAAAGACUGUGUGAUCAAUAGAAAUGAUUUUGUUUUCUAUCAGCCCUCUUCCAGUGCACAGUAGGAGUGUUACACCUUUGUUGGGCUCUUGUGUUUUGCUGGUACUGUUGUUUUAUCUGGAUUUUAACACUCCCUUCUCUCCCCACUCUUAACCUGCACUCAAGUGUGUUUUUCAGGGAGAAGAUUUGCUGUCUGGGCCACAUGAUGUGAAUCCAUAGAAAACGUAUUGUAGAGCCUAGAAAAACCCUAACACAAAUGUGGUAUGUCCCAACCACUCACACAAAUUUGGAGCCUCAGGUUUGUUUGGGUAACCAGAUCUUUAUGACAUCUUCAAAAAUUCUUCAGUACCUGUGAGAUUCAAGCCAGGGCAAAAUGGGGUAGGGGCCCUGUCAACUCAGAGGUGUGUGUGUUCUGUAUGUGUGUCUGAGUGUGUUGCCCUGAAAAUAUAACUGCAUAGCUGUUGCAUUCUAAUUUUAUAAUUUUACAAAUGAGAAUACGAUAUUGAAUGUUUUUUUAUCUUUAUGUUGUAAAGUUGCUUAUUUAAAUAUUUCAUCUGUAAUCUUACUGAUGGUAGUUCAAGUUAGCUGUAGUUUCAUGAUUUGUGGAUUUCCUUGGUUGCACGUUUUCCCAACAAUUUGCUCUUUCAUUUGAGCACCUUAAACGGGACUGGUGGAGUACUUCCAGCAGUUGUAUUCCAGUACAAGGUAAAUGUGGACAAAAUGUUGGUGUCUGUUGAGUUCUCUUGAACCCUGAACAGGACAAAGAUGAACAUGGCAGCCUGAGCACUGACCAGGAUUCUGGAGUCUUCGCCAGUAACAAGUAACGCAUGAGAGAAGAUGAACCGUUUCGGGAGCUUGUUCAGGCGGUUGCAUGACCAGGCCUGUUACCAGUCAGUGGACAAGGUGGUAGGACUGGUGCUGUAUGAACUGCAAAUGAGCUGGUAUCCAUAUCAGGCAUUUUGGCAACCCAGACAGAAAUGGGUAUCUUAAACAAUAACAUAGUUUUC